AGCGAACGCUGGCGGCAGGCCCAACACAUGCAAGUCGAACGAACCCUUCGGGGUUAGUGGCGGACGGGUGAGUAACACGUGGGAACGUGCCUUUAGGUUCGGAAUAACUCAGGGAAACUUGUGCUAAUACCGAAUGUGCCCUUCGGGGGAAAGAUUUAUCGCCUUUAGAGCGGCCCGCGUCUGAUUAGCUAGUUGGUGAGGUAAUGGCUCACCAAGGCUACGAUCAGUAGCUGGUCUGAGAGGAUGACCAGCCACAUUGGGACUGAGACACGGCCCAAACUCCUACGGGAGGCAGCAGUGGGGAAUCUUGCGCAAUGGGCGAAAGCCUGACGCAGCCAUGCCGCGUGGAUGAUGAAGGUCUUAGGAUUGUAAAAUCCUUUCACCGGUGAAGAUAAUGACUGUAGCCGGAGAAGAAGCCCCGGCUAAUUUCGUGCCAGCCGCCGCAGUAAAAC
rnacentral:rRNA from 1 species